CCUGAGCUAAACAUUCCCCUGGAUGUCUGGAUUUACAUUGCACUCAGGCUGCAAAGCUUUUCCUUGUCCACAGGGGUUAAUCUUGACCAUCUUCCAAAUAGAAGAAUUGGCUCCAGCUUCCAUUUUCAAGCACAGAAAUCUAAAUUUCACCUCUGAGUGUUGCAGAUUACAAAACUACUCUACGUAAAAUCGUGCAUCAGAUCCUUCCUGCAAACUGGAACAAAUCUAGGAAAUAGAGCUGUAUCGGUUUACAAAAGCUUCUCUGGAUGUGGGAAAAAAUUAACACUGGCUGCUACUUUUCUACAUUCAUUUACAACAUUCUUCUCCUCUGAAAUUUCCUGUUUGGUGAAUGGCACCACAACUGCAGCACACAGGGGCUCAGUCUCCCACUUGAUGCAGCUGGGGCUGUCCCCUGCUGCCUGCUGACUUCCCGCAGGGAUGCUGGUUUAAAUGCCAUACCUGUGACCUGAAGUAAUGUGUGACUUCAAGGGUGUUUGCUGGAAAAUGAGAACCUCACCCUGUGACUCUUAAUUAAAAUGGUUUGAAAAAUGUGUCAGCAAGACAAGAUUUUCCCCUUCAGCCUCAGAGGAAGUUCAGAUGUAAAUCUGAAGUGCUCUCUACAGCUACCACCCCCUGCACAACUGCUCAGAAUCUUCACAGAUUACAUCAGGAGAAGGAAGAGGAUCUGAGACUUUAUUGCUGUAUCACCACUCACAAAGCAGGUCCAGAUAGCAAAGACCAUGCAGGAGAAGCUGCCACAAGCUGCUUCAUGCCUAACUCAGCUGCCUAACAUCUGACAAUGCUCCCACAAGGCAGCUGUGCACUCCAGUGCUCAAGGGAUACAGACUGCACCGACUGGGAGAUGGCACAUGAGAAUCCUGAUUCCUGGCACACUGCUCUUCAUCAGCCACAGACAUCUAAGCACACGGAAUUGGAGGGCUAAAAACAGUCUUGAUUUAUUCAUCUGAUUCAGAGCUAUCUUGCCAGAUAUAUUAUGAAAAAAUCCAUACCCAUAAUUUAUCCUCAGACUGAUACAUUUCAUUACACUGUGGAUUCAUGGGGAAACACGAAAAAAUGAGUUUCUCAAGUUUUUUGGGACUGUGUAGUUUUAUAGAUAUAGCUGCACCAAGGCUGGAAUUUAGUCACAUUUUAUAUAAUAUUUAAACUAUACCAAUGCAUUACAAGGAUAAACUAAUGCAGUGUAAUGAUGUGCCAUAGAUAAGACUAAUUAGCAUUUUCUUAGAGACAGAGCCUAAAAGAGUCUGGCAUUCAGAACUGCAGAUCCAGAAAUUUUCAAGAUUAUCAGCAAAAGUGGACAGACAAUAAAAAGAUCAACAAGGAUGGGUGAUUUCAGAAAAAGAUUACAGACUAUCACACCAACCACUUUUUAUUUAAUAAAGGAUGUUUAUUUAAAUAGUUCAGAGUCAAACUAUAACAUAUUUCCAUCAGACAAAAACCCGGCAUUUUAGAACGUUAAUUCAGGCAACCAUUUCUUCUUCAGGAUACCAUAUUCAGGUAACCAUUUUCUAGCUUUUAUUUGUAUUAUACACAUAUUUCUCACAGGGAGAAAUAGAACUUGAAUGCCAAAUUAAAACCAGCAUUAUUGGAAGACUUAACAAUAAGUGUGAAGACAGAAGCGUGUAAGCCUGAGGAUAAAAUAAAUCCAUCAUAAUAUAAUUCCACAAAAUAAAGAUGAGGUUAAUCUGAAACCUAUGAAAAUUAAUAUCAAGAUUUUAAUUGACCUCAGCAGGUUUCUGCAGCUAGGCAUGUUCAGCAUGAUGGUUCAGUGUAAUUUUGUACUGUUUCUAAAGAAUGUUCACCCC